AACGGCAGCCAUAUAACCCUGAAAGUCACACUUGGCAGCCCACUGAAGCUAAGCAGGUGUGAGCUUGGUCAAUACCUGGAUGGGAGAUCUCCUGUGAAAAACUAAGUUUGCUGCUGGAA
rnacentral:rRNA from 1 species